AAAUUUCCACCCAUCUCCCUGACCCCUCUGCUUACCAGUGGGAACCAAAUGUAGGGAGGCACUCUGCUGUGCCAGGAGCAAGGACUGGAGCUCCAGCCUUCCAGGGAGUUUAUCACUCACCAGAUGGAAAAGAGCGAAGAACAAAGGUGAUGCAACUUAUUUAAAGAAGGCUUGGGAGAGCGAGACAAAGAAUUCAGAUCUGAUAUCCAAGCCACUGCCUUAAAUUUUCUGUCAAUAUCCUUUCAACUUCAUGCUAUGCAAUAAACAUUCAAGC